rnacentral:rRNA from 1 species
GAUGAACGCUGGCGGCGUGCCUAAUACAUGCAAGUCGAGCGAACGGACGAGAAGCUUGCUUCUCUGAUGUUAGCGGCGGACGGGUGAGUAACACGUGGAUAACCUACCUAUAAGACUGGGAUAACUUCGGGAAACCGGAGCUAAUACCGGAUAAUAUUUUGAACCGCAUGGUUCAAAAGUGAAAGACGGUCUUGCUGUCACUUAUAGAUGGAUCCGCGCUGCAUUAGCUAGUUGGUAAGGUAACGGCUUACCAAGGCAACGAUGCAUAGCCGACCUGAGAGGGUGAUCGGCCACACUGGAACUGAGACACGGUCCAGACGCCUACGGGAGGCAGCAGUAGGGAAUCUUACGCAAUGGGCGAAAGCCUGACGGAGCAACGCCGCGUGAGUGAUGAAGGUCUUCGGAUCGUAAAACUCUGUUAUUAGGGAAGAACAUAUGUGUAAGUAACUGUGCACAUCUUGACGGUACCGAAUCAGAAAGCCACGGCUAACUACGUG